UUGUCACAAAAAAUCAAAAGGAAAAAUCGAUUAACGACCAUCGUUUUUUUCACUCAAAACUAUUGGCAAAUCUCGGUGUCUCUGUCGUCUUCUGAUUUUCCUCCUAAUCGGAGAAGAAGGGCAACCGAGCCACGCUGUAAAGGCAUUGAAAUCUUGGUCCUCCGAAUUCGUGGUUUUCUGAUUCUUCCUGGUGCUCCUCACGAUUGAUUCCAUGGUCUGAUCUUCUGCGAAUCCCAAUCCGACGGUGGCGAUAGCGUCGGCGAGAAUCAAUCGGCCGAUGUGGAUCUCUUCGAUGCGUAUUUCCGACGAGCCGCUUUGGACUGCGAUGGCCGGAUUAGUGGCAAUGAACCCGUCGCUUUCUUCCAGGGCUCCGGUCUCCCCAAACAGGUCCUUGCGCAGUUUUGUACAAGAGCAGAUGUGACAGUCGCCUUAAUGAGAUCACAGAAAGGGCAUCUGCUGAUAGAUGUGAGGCUGAGUCCCUGGCUAAUAAGAAAUAUGAAGAGAAAUACAAACAAGCUGGAGAUGUAGCUUCCAAGCUGCUAUUGAAGAAGCAACGUUUCGUGAUUUACAGGUACAUAUCACCACAUAUAAAUAUGUGGACAAUUAGUGACCCACUAGCAAAAAUGCCGGCGCUCCGGUGCGGGUUUUGAAACCUUAACCACAAUUUAGCACAUCCAUUUCUAAAUUAUUAAAAAAACAAUCAAAGCAGAUGAAUCCACAUGGUAAAAUAAGUCUUUAAAUUUGCAUCUAUAUUCUAUUGAAUUUACAUCAAGAGCCUAUGUACAACAAAAAAGUGAAUUUCUACAUACCAGCUAUAUACAGUUUACAUGAUGAGUUUUUCAUACAAA